rnacentral:misc_RNA from 1 species
GAUGAAGAACGCAGCGAAAUGCGAUAAGUAGUGUGAAUUGCAGAAUUCAGUGAAUCAUCGAAUCUUUGAACGCACAUUGCGCCCCUUGGUAUUCCAUGGGGCAUGCCUGUUCGAGCGUCAUUUGUACCUUCAAGCUUUGCUUGGUGUUGGGUGUUUGUCUCGCCUUUGCGUGUAGACUCGCCUUAAAAUAAUUGGCAGCCGGCGUACUUGUUUCGGAGCGCAGCACAUUUUGCGAUCCAGAUCAACGUACAGCGGCAUCCAAGAAGCCUUAUUUAACGCUCUUGACCUCGGAUCAGGUAGGGAUACCCGCUGAACUUAAGCAUAUCAAUAAGCGGAGGA